GAAGUACUUCACACUAUCACCUAUCACCUAGAGCUAGGCCUCAUAGCCUCACUCUCAGCCCCUGACCUCAGAGUCCUCACUCCUAAGCCUUCCCCUCACCAUUCACAGUUUUAGUCUCCUUCUCAGCGACUCUUUGUCAUGGUCCUCCCCCAGUCCCCUCUACACAUUCUUCUUUUUCUUCUUAAGGAGGCCUUAGUCAGUCCUCUUCCUCGCUCACUUAGUCCUCACUGCAGCUGCCAUGCAUGGAUUCUAGGGAAAUUUAUUUCUGAUAAUGAAAUUUGUUGAUAAAUUUUGGGGUUUGAGGUUAGAAAUUUGUGAGUAUUUGGUUGGUGAAUUGUGACUGAAAGCAUUGUUUUUGUUUUUAUUUUCAGUUGAAUUUCUAGAUUUAUUGAAAAAUUUCUAUGGUUGAUUAAAUUUUUUUGGCUAUUGAUUAUUCAUUUGUGAUUUAUUUGAAUCUUUUGAUUUGUAAUUGUUGCUUGUUGGCUAAUUUGUACUUGUUUAGUGUGAAG
rnacentral:misc_RNA from 1 species